UCAGCCAGCUUCUCGCCUCCGCGACCGAAGAGCAGCCCCGCCCCGCAGCGCCUUCCGUCCUCCAAGGCGGGAAGCCCCGCCCCCCAGCCCGAGCCAAUCAGAGUGCGGCGCGCAUAGGGGCUUCCUCCCCAGUCGUCCCUCAGUCCCGCUCUAUAGGAUGGGUGGAGGAAGCGGUAGAGAAUCGAGCUCAGAUCCAGAAAAGCUGCCCUUCUGGCCCGCGAGAACAGCUGGUACCUGCUUGAGCGAAGAUUAAACCUCCUGCCCCAGAGAGGCCUUUGGCUAGUGAUACAUCUCGUCCGCUCAGAACUCAUCUUGGAGUAGUACCCUUACAAGCCAUUGUGUGCGUCCACCAGCCUGCCCUUCUUCUUCUGCCCUGAGGCCAGCAUGCGGAGGCUCACCCACCAGAGACAGGAACACAAGCAACAGACCCUGGGGCUGUCUGAGUCUGUGAUUCUAACGCCCCUGAGAAGAAGCAAGCAGAAGCAGCAGCUGUUGAAUUUAGCAGGUUAUUUUGAAUUUGCAUUUAUUUCAUUGCUGAUGUUCUCUUUCCAUGUGUGUUGAAUACAUUAAAAAAAAAUGAACUGCCUUGUAAUAGCACUUGGGCUUGGUUAUGAAAUGGAACAGUUAUAAAAUGUAAGAAGUUAGUGUUACUUUCUCACAUGCAUUUCCCCUAUUUAAACGUUUUAUGCUAAUAUUGCAUAUUUUAUAAUUAAAAAAUAUUGUUUCUCUAGUAAUCAAGAACAUCUCUUCUGGUUAUAAUUGUAGUAUGUGCACUGUUCUGUUUUCUUCUACCUAUUUAAAAAAGACUGCCAGGAUUUUGUCUGGAACUUGGGCUUCUCCGUGAAUGUCAGUGACCUGUAACACCACUCCCUCACCUUUCUACUCCCAAAGGAAGUAUGUACAGGGGAGUUACUAUGGGCAAAUGAGUAUCUAAGUCAUGGGUUAGGACGUAAAAAGAACAGACCAGGCGGAGCUUAGGUGGGAAGCAGGUGUUCACCACAG